rnacentral:rRNA from 1 species
GACGAACGCUGGCGGCGUGCCUAAUACAUGCAAGUAGAACGCUGACUACUUUAGCUUGCUAGAGUAGAAGGAGUUGCGAACGGGUGAGUAACGCGUAGGUAACCUGCCUACUAGCGGGGGAUAACUAUUGGAAACGAUAGCUAAUACCGCAUAACAGUGUUUAACACAUGUUAGAUGCUUGAAAGAUGCAAUUGCAUCACUAGUAGAUGGACCUGCGUUGUAUUAGCUAGUUGGUGGGGUAACGGCCCACCAAGGCGACGAUCAGUAGCCGGCCUGAGAGGGUGAACGGCCACAUUGGGACUGAGACACGGCCCAA